rnacentral:tRNA from 2 species
GCUUGGAUGGCUCAGUUGGUUAGAGCGCAGGUCUCAUACGAGUGUAUGACCAUCACCAGAUGGGUAAUCCUGAGGUCGUGAGUUCGAUCCUCACUCCGAGCA